AGUGAACGCUGGCGGUAGGCCUAACACAUGCGAGUCGAACGGCAGCACAGUAAGAGCUUGCUCUUACGGGUGGCGAGUGGCGGACGGGUGAGGAAUACAUCGGAAUCUACUUUUUCGUGGGGGAUAACGUAGGGAAACUUACGCUAAUACCGCAUACGACCUACGGGUGAAAGCAGGGGAUCUUCGGACCUUGCGCGAUUGAAUGAGCCGCUGUCGGAUUAGCUAGUUGGCGGGGUAAAGGCCCACCAAGGCGACGAUCCGUAGCUGGUCUGAGAGGAUGAUCAGCCACACUGGAACGUAGACACGGUCCAGACUCCUACGGGAGGCAGCAGUGGGGAGUAUUGGACAAUGGGCGCAAGCCUGAUCCAGCCAUACCGCGUGGGUGAAGAAGGCCUUCGGGUUGUAAAGCCCUUUUGUUGGGAAAGAAAAGCAGCAGGUUAAUACCCCGCUGUUCUGACGGUACCCAAAGAAUAAGCACCGGCUAACUUCGUG
rnacentral:rRNA from 1 species